rnacentral:tRNA from 1 species
GGUGGCUCAGUGGUAGAGUGCUUGCCUCUUAUGCAUGAGGCCCUGGGUUCAAUUCCUCAGCACCA